rnacentral:rRNA from 1 species
CUAUGCGCCUUCGCCAGCCCGCUCAGAAACUCAAAGGAAUUGGACGGGGCCCGCACAAGCGGUGGAGCAUGUGGUUUUAAUUCGAUGAUACGCGAGGAACCUUACCUGGGCUCAAAUGUAUGUUUGACGUAUUCUGAAAGGGAUACUUCUUCGGACAAUAUACAAGGUGCUGCAUGGUUGUCGUCAGCUCGUGCCGUGAGGUGUCGGGUUAAGUCCCAUAACGAGCGCAACCCUUGUCCUUAGUUACCAGCACGUUAUGGUGGGCACUCUAAGGAGACUGCCGGUGACAAACCGGAGGAAGGUGGGGAUGACGUCAAGUCAUCAUGGCCCUUACGGCCUGGGCUACACACGUGCUACAAUGGUCGGUACAAAGGGUUGCCAAGCCGCGAGGUGGAGCUAAUCCCAUAAAACCGAUCGUAGUCCGGAUCGCAGUCUGCAACUCGACUGCGUGAAGUCGGAAUCGCUAGUAAUCGUGAAUCAGAAUGUCACGGUGAAUACGUUCCCGGGCCUU